GAUGAACGCUGGCGGCGUGCCUAAUACAUGCAAGUCGAGCGAACAGACGAGGAGCUUGCUCCUCUGACGUUAGCGGCGGACGGGUGAGUAACACGUGGAUAACCUACCUAUAAGACUGGGAUAACUUCGGGAAACCGGAGCUAAUACCGGAUAAUAUAUUGAACCGCAUGGUUCAAUAGUGAAAGACGGUUUUGCUGUCACUUAUAGAUGGAUCCGCGCCGCAUUAGCUAGUUGGUAAGGUAACGGCUUACCAAGGCGACGAUGCGUAGCCGACCUGAGAGGGUGAUCGGACAAACUGGAACUGGAACACGGUGCAGACUCCUACGGGAGGCAGCAGUAGGGAAUCUUCCGGAAUGGGCGAAAGCCUAACGGAGCAACGCCGCGUGAGUGAUGAAGGUCUUCGGAUCGUAAAACUCUGUUAUUAGGGAAGAACAAAUGUGUAAGUAACUAUGCACGUCUUGACGGUACCUAAUCAGAAAGCCACGGCUAACUACGUG
rnacentral:rRNA from 1 species